rnacentral:ncRNA from 1 species
UGACCUCAGAUCAGGCAAGGCAACCCGCUGAAUUUAAGCAUAUUAAUAAGCGGAGGAAAAGAAACUAACAAGGAUUCCCCUAGUAAUGGCGAAUGAAGCGGGAACAGCUCAAAUUUGAAAUCUCCGUUGCUUGCAACGGCGAAUUGUAGUUUCGAGAAGCACUUUCUCGGCGGAUCCGAGGUCGUCCAAGUUGCUUGGAACAGCACGUCGUAGAGGGUGACAACCCCGUCUGUGGCGACCUCCGCCGUUCACGAUGUGCUUUCGACGAGUCGGGUUGUUUGGGAAUGCAGCCCAAAAUGGGUGGUAAACUCCAUCUAAAGCUAAAUAUUGGCACGAGACCGAUAGCGAACAAGUACCGUGAGGGAAAGAUGAAAAGCACUUUGAAAAGAGAGUUAAAAAGUACGUGAAACCGUUAAAAGGGAAACGAAUGGGGUUAGCAAUGCGUCGUGCGAGAUUCAGCCGGUGGGCGGGCCUGUCGGGCGGUUGGCAGAUCUGAAUGGACCGCUGCCGUUCGGGUUGGUUUCCCGACCGUCGCACUUCUCGCAGGCUCGCGCCAACGUCGGUUAGGGCUGGGUUUCAAAGGCGGUGGAAAGGUAGGUUUGGACUCUCGGACCCGAACUGUUGCAGUCCUCCGUUUGUCAUGGCCCGGACCUGACCGAGGAGCUUGCGGUGCAUGCCGUUCGGCUAGGGUCCCGUCUUCCCGGUCGGUCGUCGAAUGCGGUGGACUGCGUGCAGUGCGCCGCGACUGCUGCCGGUCGCGAGGGCGGUGAUUUCGUACUAUGCACCCACGACGUUGGCGAUCAUAUGGCCUCAUCCGACCCGUCUUGAAACACGGACCAAGGAGUCUAACAUGUGUGCGAGUCUUUGAGUGAUCGAAACUCCGAGGCGAAAUGAAAGUGAAGGCGACCUCGGUCGCUGAGGUGAGAGCCUUUUACAAAAAUAGGCGCAUCAUUGACCGACCUAUUCUACUCUUAGAAAGGUUUGAGUAAGAGCGCAUCUGUUGGGACCCGAAAGAUGGUGAACUAUGCCUGAAUAGGGUGAAGCCAGAGGAAACUCUGGUGGAGGCUCGUAGCGAUUCUGACGUGCAAAUCGAUCGUCAAAUUUGGGUAUAGGGGCGAAAGACUAAUCGAACUGUCUAGUAGCU